rnacentral:rRNA from 1 species
UGCAAGUCGAGCGCGGGAAGCGAGUGGAUCCCUUCGGGGUGAAGCUCGUGGAACGAGCGGCGGACGGGUGAGUAACACGUGGGCAACCUGCCUGUAAGACCGGAAUAACCCCGGGAAACCGGGGCUAAUGCCGGGUAAUACUUUUCUUCGCAUGAAGGAAAGUUGAAAGAUGGCUUCUUGCUAUCACUUACAGAUGGGCCCGCGGCGCAUUAGCUAGUUGGUGAGGUAACGGCUCACCAAGGCGACGAUGCGUAGCCGACCUGAGAGGGUGAUCGGCCACACUGGGACUGAGACACGGCCCAGACUCCUACGGGAGGCAGCAGUAGGGAAUCUUCCGCAAUGGACGAAAGUCUGACGGAGCAACGCCGCGUGAACGAUGAAGGUCUUCGGAUCGUAAAGUUCUGUUGUUAGGGAAGAACAAGUACCGUGCGAAUAGAGCGGUACCUUGACGGUACCUAACGAGGAAGCCCCGGCUAACUACGUGCCAGCAGCCGCGGUAAUACGUAGGGGGCAAGCGUUGUCCGGAAUUAUUGGGCGUAAAGCGCGCGCAGGCGGUUCCUUAAGUCUGAUGUGAAAGCCCACGGCUCAACCGUGGAGGGUCAUUGGAAACUGGGGAACUUGAGGACAGAAGAGGAGAGUGGAAUUCCACGUGUAGCGGUGAAAUGCGUAGAUAUGUGGAGGAACACCAGUGGCGAAG